UACGUAGGGUGCAAGCGUUUAAUCGGAAUUACUGGGCGUAAAGCGUGCGCAGGCGGUUGUGCAAGACAGAUGUGAAAUCCCCGGGCUCAACCUGGGAACUGCAUUUGUGACUGCACAGCUAGGGUGCGGUAGAGGGAAGCGGAAUUUCCGGUGUAGCGGUGAAAUGCGUAGAUAUCGGAAGGAACAUCAGUGGCGAAAGCGGCUUCCUGGACCAGCACCGACGUCAGGCACGAAAGCGUGGGGAGCAAACAGG
rnacentral:rRNA from 1 species